GACGAACGCUGGCGGUAUGCUUAACACAUGCAAGUCGAACGAGAAGUUUUUUAUUGACCCUUCGGGGGAUAUAAGAGACAGACAGUGGCGAACGGGUGAGUAACGCGUGGGCAACCUACCUAUCGGAGCGGGAUAGCCUCGAGAAAUCGGGAGUAAAACCGCAUAACACAGCAGAAUCGCAUGACUUUGCUGUCAAAACUCCGGUGCCGAUAGAUGGGCCCGCGUCUGAUUAGCUAGUUGGUAAGGUAAGGGCUUACCAAGGCAACGAUCAGUAGCCGGUCUGAGAGGGCGAACGGCCACACUGGAACUGAGACACGGUCCAGACUCCUACGGGAGGCAGCAGUGGGGAAUAUUGCGCAAUGGGGGCAACCCUGACGCAGCAAUACCGCGUGAGUGAAGAAGGUUUUCGGAUCGUAAAGCUCUGUUAUUGGGGAAGAAGCAGUGACGGUACCCAAUGAGGAAGUCCCGGCUAACUACGUGCCAGCAGCCGCGGUAAUACGUAGGGGACGAGCGUUGUCCGGAAUCACUGGGCGUAAAGGGCGCGUAGGCGGUUUUAUAAGUCAGAUGUGAAAGGUACCGGCUCAACCGGUGACGUGCAUUUGAAACUGUAAGACUUGAGUACUGAAGAGGCAAGCGGAAUUCCUAGUGUAGCGGUGAAAUGCGUAGAUAUUAGGAAGAACACCGGUGGCGAAGGCGGCUUGCUGGGCAGAUACUGACGCUGAGGUGCGAAAGCGUGGGGAGCGAACAGG
rnacentral:rRNA from 1 species